AAAACGUUACAUUAAGUUAAAAGGAUCUGACUGAUGCAACCUUGUUAAAAAUAUCUCCUAAAUCAAUUAAGCUUUAAAGUGUGCAACUGUCAGUGAGUUCAUUGAUUCAGACUUGCGGAGGUUGAACCGAAGAAUCGUUCAACAAGUCUUUAAUACUAUUGAAGCUCAGCAAAUAACUUGAAUCGUUGUUCUCUGGAAUUCCCCUUUUGGAAGAGCUGCUAGAUGUUUGUAAAAAUGUCACUGAGAGUAGUUUUGCUUUGGAGAAGUUAAGUUCAAAGUUCCCCAAUUUGAUUGUGCCGCCGUGUUUCUACUUUCUCGCAUGCUCCUUUGUAUUAUAGAGGACACACUAUAUGAACUGGAAUACCUAGGGACUACACCGACAAAAAUGCUCCUGAAACGCUGGCUGCAAUCCUAAAACUUGUUGAUGAAAGAAAAUAUUAUGCAGCUAUAACAAAAGCGGCCAAAUUGUUGGGAGGUCCUUCUGAUGUAUGUGUCAUAUACUAUAAAUUGAUAUAACUCUUCAUGCAACCAUAUGAGAAACUGAUCUAUUUAUUAGACUGAUGUUAAGGUUAACAACCAAGGAACAUGAUAUAUAAAUCAGAGGAAUCCAAGUAGUUUUUUUUUUUCUACAUUAUAAAUUUCAUGCUUUUAUUCAACUAGUACUCAUUCAUGAAUUGUCUACUCCCUCACCCCACAAAUUUGUAGUAUUUUCUUAUUAACCAGUUUAGAGUUUUAGUAGAAUGCAAGGUUAUUUGAUAGUAUACAAA